GAGUUUCUAAAUUUAAUAAGAAGAGAAGUUCUUAUAAUCUUUGUGUUUGAUGCAACUUUAAAAUUUAUAAUUUGAGGGUGUAUCUAUAUUGUUCAUUUCCUUUGCAUAUAAAAAUAUUUGGGCGUUAUAUGACACGAGAUACUAUACAUACCAUAAAAACUGUAAUCAAACGAAGUGUGAAAACGUACGGAUAUACACUUUGUUGAAAUGAUAUAUUACCAAGAAGAACUUUAGUUUUGCAACAUGGAAAACAAAAAAUAUAGUGGAAAAAAAAAAGGCGAGUAAAAUUUCAAAGGUAAGGCGGUUGAUUUACGUAGUCAACGAAAAAAAUCAUAUACACACACAUAAAAGAGACGUGCAAGAUUAAUGAGCACUGCUGCAGCAGUGAGGACAUGUUUUUGUUCUUCUUUAAAGAUUUUUUUCACUCUUCUCCGACCGAUAUUUUUAAACCCGAUCCGGACACUGAACCAGACUACUUAUCGGAUUGCUGGGUCAAUAGAUCGACCGUGGAUGAACCACAGGUUAAUAAAUCAAUUAAUUUUAUUAUAUAAUAAUAUAUUAA
rnacentral:lncRNA from 1 species